rnacentral:rRNA from 1 species
GACGAACGCUGGCGGCGUGCCUAAUACAUGCAAGUCGAGCGAACAUUUGAGAGCUUGCUCUCAAAUGUUAGCGGCGGACGGGUGAGUAACACGUGGGCAACCUGCCUAUAAGACUGGGAU